GAAGGGGUAGCACUGGGAAGCUUAUCUAGUUCGAAGCCAUCACCACUGCUAGAACAGCACCACAAAGCCCAGGCUGCCCUGUUGGUAGUUUGAACACCUGAUUCUUUGAAAGCAUGUAGGAACCUUCAAGAUAGUUUUUACUCAAUCUCCUUCCUUUUACAGAAAGAGAAGAGUUGAAAUUGCUGGAGUAUCUUUGGAUCACCCCUAUGUUUGAACCUACAAACAUUAGUGCCAAAGUACAAUAUCAAAGUAGAAAACUAAAGAAGUUGACUAUGGUCCUGCUGAGGGCUUCUUCUAUCUCAUUCACUCCCCUUUUGUGGACCACAAUAUUGAGAUACCAGAAAAAGUGCUGAAGAACUUACACCCCACCUACCACUACCACAUGUCUCCAAGGAUACAUGCCUUCUGAGG